AACGAACGCUGGCGGCAGGCUUAACACAUGCAAGUCGAGCGCCCCGCAAGGGGAGCGGCAGACGGGUGAGUAACGCGUGGGAACGUACCUUUUGGUUCGGAACAACUCCGGGACACUGGAGCUAAUACCGGAUAAGCCCUAACGGUGAAAGAUUUAUCGCCGAAAGAUCGGCCCGCGUCUGAUUAGCUAGUUGGUGAGGUAACGGCUCACCAAGGCGACGAUCAGUAGCUGGUCUGAGAGGAUGAUCAGCCACACUGGGACUGAGACACGGCCCAGACUCCUACGGGAGGCAGCAGUGGGGAAUAUUGGACAAUGGGCGCAAGCCUGAUCCAGCCAUGCCGCGUGAGUGAUGAAGGCCUUAGGGUUGUAAAGCUCUUUUGUCCGGGAAGAUAAUGACUGUACCGGAAGAAUAAGCCCCGGCUAACUUCGUG
rnacentral:rRNA from 1 species